rnacentral:rRNA from 1 species
AUUGAACGCUGGCGGCAGGCCUAACACAUGCAAGUCGAGCGGAUGAGUGGAGCUUGCUCCAUGAUUCAGCGGCGGACGGGUGAGUAAUGCCUAGGAAUCUGCCUGGUAGUGGGGGACAACGUUUCGAAAGGAACGCUAAUACCGCAUACGUCCUACGGGAGAAAGUGGGGGAUCUUCGGACCUCACGCUAUCAGAUGAGCCUAGGUCGGAUUAGCUAGUUGGUGAGGUAAAGGCUCACCAAGGCGACGAUCCGUAACUGGUCUGAGUGGAUGGUCAGUCACACUGGAACUGAGACACGGUCCAGAAUGCUACGGGAGGCAGCAGUGGGGAAUAUUGGACAAUGGGCUAAAGCCUGAUCCAGCCAGGCCGCGUGUGUGAAGAAGGUCUUCGGAUUGUAAAGCACUUUAAGUUGGGAAGAAGGGCAGUAAGUUAAUACCUUGCUGUUUUGACGUUACCAACAGAAUAAGCACCGGCUAACUUCGUGCCAGCCGCCGCAGUAACAC